rnacentral:ncRNA from 1 species
GAGAGCACAGUACGAUGAAAGUUGUAAGCUGUGUUCGAGGGGGGGGGGAGUUAUUGUCUAUCGUCGGC